GAGUGGCAGACGGGUGAGUAACGCGUGGGAACCUUCCCAAUGGUGCGGAAUAGCCCAGGGAAACUUGGGGUAAUACCGCAUAAGCCGGGGGAAAGAUUUAUCGCCAUUGGAUGGGCCCGCGUCGGAUUAGCUAGUUGGUGAGGUAAUGGCUCACCAAGGCAACGAUCCGUAGCUGGUUUGAGAGAAUGACCAGCCACACUGGGACUGAGACACGGCCCAGACUCCUACGGGAGGCAGCAGUGGGGAAUCUUGGACAAUGGGCGCAAGCCUGAUCCAGCCAUGCCGCGUGAGUGACGAAGGCCUUAGGGUUGUAAAGCUCUUUUGCCGGGGACGAUAAUGACGGUACCCGGAGAAUAAGUCCCGGCUAACUUCGUGCCAGCAGCCGCGGUAAUACGAAGGGGACUAGCGUUGUUCGGAAUUACUGGGCGUAAAGCGCACGUAGGCGGAUUUGUUAGUCAGGGGUGAAAUCCCGGGGCUCAACCUCGGAACUGCCUUUGAUACUGCAAAUCUCGAGUCCGAUAGAGGUGGGUGGAACUCCUAGUGUAGAGGUGAAAUUCGUAGAUAUUAGGAAGAACACCGGUGGCGAAGGCGGCCCACUGGAUCGGUAC
rnacentral:rRNA from 1 species